AACGAACGCUGGCGGCAGGCUUCACACAUGCAAGUCGAGCGCCCCGCAAGGGGAGCGGCAGACGGGGGAGUAACGCGUGGGAACAUACCUGUUCCUACGGAAUAGCUCUGGGAUACUGGAAUAAAUAGCGUAUAAGACCUCCGGGUGAAAGAUUUAUCGGGGAAGGAUUGGCCCGCGUUGGAUGAGCUAGUUGGUGGGGUAAAGGCCUACCAAGGCGACGAUCCAUAGCUGGUCUGAGAGGAUGAUCAGCCACAUUGGGACUGAGACACGGCCCAAACUCCUACGGGAGGCAGCAGUGGGGAAUAUUGGACAAUGGGCGCAAGCCUGAUCCAGCCAUGCCGCGUGAGUGAUGAAGGCCUUAGGGUUGUAAAGCUCUUUCACCGAUGAAGAUAAUGACGGUAGUCGGAGAAGAAGCCCCGGCUAACUUCGUGCCAGCAGCCGCAGUAAAAC
rnacentral:rRNA from 1 species